rnacentral:rRNA from 1 species
UACAGAGGGUGCGAGCGUUAAUCGGAAUUACUGGGCGUAAAGCGCACGUAGGUGGCGACGUAAGUCGGGUGUGAAAGCCCCGGGCUCAACCUGGGAAUUGCAUUCGAGACUGCAUUGCUGGAGUACGGAAGAGGAAGGCGGAAUUCCCGGUGCAGUGGUGGAAUGCGUAGAUAUCGGGAGGAACACCAGUGGCGAAGGCGGGUACCUGGACCAACACUGACGCUGAGGCGCGAAAGCUAGGGGAGCAAACAGG